rnacentral:rRNA from 1 species
GAAAAGAAACUAACAAGGAUUCCCCUAGUAACGGCGAGUGAAGCGGGAAGAGCUCAAAUUUGAAAUCUGGUAGCCUUCGGUUGCCCGAGUUGUAAUCUAGAGAAGUGUUUUCCGUGCCGGCCCAUGUACAAGUCCCUUGGAACAGGGCGUCAUAGAGGGUGAGAAUCCCGUCCUUGACAUGGACCCCCGGUGCUUUGUGAUACACUUUCAACGAGUCGAGUUGUUUGGGAAUGCAGCUCAAAAUGGGUGGUGAAUUCCAUCUAAAGCUAAAUAUUGGCGAGAGACCGAUAGCGAACAAGUACCGUGAGGGAAAGAUGAAAAGCACUUUGGAAAGAGAGUUAAACAGUACGUGAAAUUGUUGAAAGGGAAACGAUUGAAGUCAGUCAUGCUCUUGGGACUUACCUCCCUUGAGUGGGGUCAACAUCAGUUUUGAUCGAUGGAUAAAGGCACUAGGAAGGUAGCACUCUCGGGUGAACUUAUAGCCUAGCGUCAUAUACAUUGAUUGGGACUGAGGAACGCAGCAUGCCUUUUGGCCGGGAUUCGUCCACGUACAUGCUUAGGAUGUUGACAUAAUGGCUUUAAACGACCCGUCUU